CCUACGGGAGGCAGCAGUGAGGAAUAUUGGUCAAUGGACGCAAGUCUGAACCAGCCAUGCCGCGUGCAGGAAGACGGCUCUAUGAGUUGUAAACUGCUUUUGUACGAGGGUAAACGCAGAUACGCGUAUCUGUCUGAAAGUAUCGUACGAAUAAGGAUCGGCUAACUCCGUGCCAGCAGCCGCGGUAAUACGGAGGAUUCAAGCGUUAUCCGGAUUUAUUGGGUUUAAAGGGUGCGUAGGCGGUCGGAUAAGUUAGAGGUGAAAUCCCGAGGCUCAACUUCGGAAUUGCCUCUGAUACUGUUCGGCUAGAGAGUAGUUGCGGUAGGCGGAAUGUAUGGUGUAGCGGUGAAAUGCUUAGAGAUCAUACAGAACACCGAUUGCGAAGGCAGCUUACCAAGCUACUUCUGACGUUGAGGCACGAAAGCGUGGGUAGCAAACAGGAUUAGAUACCCUAGUAGU
rnacentral:rRNA from 1 species